rnacentral:lncRNA from 1 species
GACAAUUUUGUAAACUUUACAAAAUUAUUACUCCAUCUGUUUCAUAAUAAAUGAAUUGUUGAAUUUUGACACACAGAUUAAGGAAAAAACAUUAAAGACAUAAAUUUAACAUAACUUUUCAUUUUUAUCCCAAAAAAAAGAAAAAGUUGACCUUGUAAUACCUUUUCAAAAAUUAAUUGAUUGUUCAAUGAUUCACUUAUUUUGAAACACUAAUAAAUAGCUCAACAAUUCACGUAAGUAAUUAUUUUUUUAAAUUCCAUGCUCGAUCAAAUAACAACAGAUAAAAUGAGACGAAGAUAGUAUUUUUUAAAUAGCGUGCCAAAAUUGUUAAAUACAGAUAAUAUGAAUCAAUAUUAUAAUAUAUGGAGAGGAUGGCCUGUUGAAAGAUAAGAUGCUUUUAAUGUGAUUUGACAGAUUUAUUUCCAAAAGAUCCAAAAUCCAAAUGCCUUUGUGGGUCCACUAAUCACUAUCAGACUAUUUUUUCUAUAAUACUCUUUCAGGGAAAGCAUAUGUUGCAAAUGACAAAUAAUUCAGAAAUUAUAAUUGUCAUGAUUGGUAAGUCUAUUCUCCUAGUUAAUUGAUCAUUACUACAUGCUAAUCAAUAUAUAUAUAAGUUGAAUGUAGAUCCGGUGAUGUGGCAUUCUUUAGAUUUUCCUUAUCUUCAGCUAUCUCAUUUAAGGAAUCAAUUAGUGCAGAGGCAAGAGAUCUUAGCUUGUUGAGGGAGUAAUCCUUCAUAUUCUCUUUAAUAUCUAAGAGAGAUGAAGGUCUACUUUCAUUUUUGUCUAUGUCUGCCAUCAACACAGGAAGUCCAUCAGAGGCUCGCACCAUUUUUUAUUGCCGUACAGGAAAUGUCUUUCUUUUGUUCAAACUCAUUUGAAUCACUUGAUGAAUCAUUCCACCAAGCUGCAAGCAUCUGACUGGCAAUUUUGUCAGCCUCAGUUUCCAGCUGCACUUCUCGGUGACCUUCUGCUUCCCCUUUUUGGACACCUCUUCAGAUCUAUACAAGUCUUCGAGAAACUUUUUUGCAAUCCGAGCUGUUUCACUAAUUUUUGAGGUGUAAGUAGCUUGUGAAGCCUUCAUUUCUCUGGAUCCUUUUAACGUGUUAGCCUGAUCACGGAAAAUCUGCUCUGAUAUCAAAUGAAAGGAUUGGGGGUGGGUUGGUUCUCGAUUCAGGGAAUUGUUCCCAGAAUCACACACGCAAUAAGAACCAAGAGGAAAAUGCAGUAAGUAAUGCAGGAGUACAAAAGGUAAAGACACUAGGAUUUUUAUAUGCAAACUCCUUGCCUGCCUCCAGGAUUUUUAUAUGCAAACUCAUUGGUUGAGUCAAAAAGAUUGCAACAACUUUUCACCUAACUUUUGUACUAUGUGUCAGCUGAAAAGUUGAUUGUCACAGUGAUAAGUGUGCCCAAUUUGUUCUAUAAUGCGUAGAGGCCUUUGUCGUCACAACAAAAACUUCAAGGAACAUAUUACAAACUAUGAAUUUGUCAAUCAUCAAAACUAAUAACACUUAACCUAUUUAAUUAUUUUUUUAAAAAAUAGAAUUUACAUAUGUGAAAUUUCCAUUUAAAAAUAAAAUUCUGAAAAGUAAAAAAUAUCUCUUUAAUAACCGUUUUAUAAUUCCCUUAAAAUUAUUAUCUCUUCCUCCCCUUUCUCAUCUUUCUUCUUCUUUUCACUUUAUUUCCAUAAUUUUUUUCAUAAAUCACACAUUAUAAUUUAGGACUUGACAAUCAAAAUUGUAUGAAAUGGAAUUACUAUUGUAUUUUAUAUUCACAUUUUAUUUUUGUUUUGUCUUUAAAAAAGAAAAAAAAGGAAAAGCAAUAAAGAGGAACAAAAGAAAGAAAAAAUAAAAUAAACUAAAAUAUCCUGAUAUAACAAGAAACAGUAGGUAGAAACAAACAACAUAUGACUUAUACUAAGGUGUUCUGAUAUAUGUCUUAUUUGUGAUUAUUAUUAAUGAGAAGAGUUAAUGAUCAAAAACACAUCUGAACUAUUGAUAUUUCGCGAGUUUCACAUUGCAAUAACCAGUUGUUCCCUUUUCCGAUCCGAGCUAUCACCAUCGUCCAGGCAGGAAAAGGGAACAACUUACAGUUCAUGAGGUGUAUUUUAAUAUAUAUAGAUGGUGAUAAUUCGGGGUGGAAAAAGAGAACAACCGAUAGUUGGGUGUGAAACUCGCGAAAAUGAUAGUUCAGGUGUAUUUUUGACCAUCAAUAAGCAGAAUGCAUCUGUAAUUGACGACUAGCUAUGAUGCGAAGAUAGAGGCUAAACAUGAAAUUCCUCGGGCAUAACAUUUUCAGUAAAACAAGAAAUUAGGAGAAGUUACUAACUACAUGAGCAUCAGGAAGAUGUGUAAUGUGUUGCAGUUGAGGACAGUGAACAUGAAACAAGAAUCACAUUUCCAUAACAUAACAAUUCUCAAUAGUAUGAAUCUUGCUAGAUAUUAACUAGAGUGGCCAGAAGAUAUAAAAGUUCAUCGAUAUUACUAUAUGAUUAUUUGUCUGUCAACAUUUUGCUCUGGAAUGCUGUACUUGAUAACGAACACAUCAUUUCGGAUGUGCAUACAUUCUAGAUCGAGUCGAAUAUGUAAUUCUUAUCGAGGAUGUGAAGGAGGGGGCUUCCUGAUAUGAGUUGCUUGUUCAAAACCAUAUGCAAUCUCGAUGAGUGUUGGCUCUGAACCCUUCAGUCCUCCAAAGGAAAUUCCAACGGGAACUCCACUUUUAUCAUAACCAGCAGGUACAUUGAUCCCUGGAUAACCUUCGAUCGCGAGAAGACUAGCAAUGUCUGCACCAGGUGACAUCAACGCGUCUAGCUUAUUAACUUUUAUCAUCUUCUCAAACCCGUAUUUGCAUACUUUUGUUAUGUUCCUCAGUGCCUCCCUUUCCAAUUUCCCUAUUCCAUUCGUCUUCUCAGCUGCCAUCAUUAUGCCUUGACCAUAUUCUUUGAACUUUUCCUACAAUAAUAUAUAAGAAGAACCAAUCGCUUAAACUAAGAAGGGGAGCCUUGGAGUAACCGAUAAAGUUGCUACCAUGUGACCAGGAGGUCAUGGGUUCAAGCCUUGGAAACAACCUCUGGCAGAAAUGCAAGGUAAGGUUGCGUACGAUACGCCCUUGUAGUGGGGCCCUUCCCUGGACACCGCGCAUAGCGGUAGCUUUGGUGCACCGGGCUGCCCUUUUUUUUUUCAGUCGCUUAAACUAGAAAUAGCCCGUGGAUGUAUAAUAUAUGUAUGUAUAAUAUGUGAAUAACAGUGUGUAAUUUAUGUUUACCGGAAAAGAACAGUAAACAGUGCAUCCGUCCAGCUACUUUAAACAUCCCUAAAAAGAAUGAAAACAGAUAUAUCUCGAUUCUACUUCUAGUGACAUACAUAAGUUCAGCUAAUUUCAAUUUACAAGUGAAAGCUUUUAGUUCCUGCAAUAAUGUACUACAAACGAAUAUGAACAUACUGUUAACAAAUUAUUUAUGAACAAAGUAGUAAUGGAGUGGCUUUGGCGUGAAUACGACAGAAUGAUUACAUCGAUUCCUAUAACUAAUAUCAACUUUGUCUGAUAUCAAGGUGCAGUUAAUUGAGAUCGACUAGUACUUACCGAAGCUGAAAUCUUGUUAAAGGCUAUGACAUCUGCCAAGGAUCGGACUUGAGUAUGAACUAGCUUCUUAAGAUAUGCAUUUAGGUCCAUCUUGAAUUCAGCAAAAAGUGCUAUGUCUUGAGCAUUAACAAUAGCACUGUAGACCAAGUCGAUGUUAGGUACUUCGACGUUGUCAACUAAUACUACUCCUUUUUGCCUUUCCAGAAAAAAAGCUCAUCUCUAUUAGGAAAUUAAGUAAAACUAAACCAGAGAAAGGCAUAAAACAUAGAUAGACACCUUAACUUUCUGGCAACUGAACACUUUAACUUAGAGCAUGCACAUCAAUUAAUCUCCAUUGUGUUAGUUGAACACUUCAACUAACAAAAUGAUCAUCUAGAAGCCUCCAAAAUUUAUGUGACACAUCAGCAUCGGGAGUCCAUGAAACACAACGAGAACGAGUAGAGGUGUUUAGAUGUGCACUCCCUAAUAUGGAGUGUUUACUUUUCAGUUGAGACUAGUCUUUUAUCUUUGAGAAAUGCAGACGAAAACGGAAAGAUUACCUCAAGGUGUUGAAAUGGUGUUGGCAAGCUUUGAUAUCAUUGGAACCCAAAAGGUCCUUUAAAAUACCUAGUCUUUUAUCUUUGAGCCCAUCAGCCUUAAGAAAUUGCCGGUAUCCACCAUGUGGAAUGUAAGUAGAAGCCUUUUUAGUAGCUGGAAAAUCAUCUCAAUCGAUGCCAACAAUGACAUCAAGAACCUCAACAGCAUGAGAUACUGUCCUGCAGAUUGGUCUGUUCUAUGCAAAAAAACACAUUGUGUGAAGAGAUUUCGAAUGUCUUCUAUGUUCAUGUUUGUUACCAAGUUCGUUGCAUCUCUAACAAACCUACAAUGUCUAAAUUCAGGAUCUAAUAAGUAAUCCUAUUUUGCACCAUCAAUUUUCACUAUUGUUCAAAAAUCUAGCAUUAAACAGUUCUGCAAAGAGAAAAAAGAUCGAAAACUCCAUCCAUUCUAGUUCUAGUUUAUGUGAGCUAUUUUCUAUCAGCUAGUCUGUUCCAAAAUGAAUGACACAUUUCUAUAUCCGGAGUUUUACUCUAAAUUUCUCGUUUUACCCUUAAUAAGAGUUUCAAAAGCCAACACAAAAAAUGACUCUAAUGAAGGUUAAACAUUCUGUGUAGAGGAAGAAAGUCAUAAUAUUGUAGCUGCGCACGGUUAUUUUUGCCGAUUGAUCUUCCAAUAUGCUAAUUUAACGACUCUCGUUCAUUACACUUCUUCCUUGCUGCUUGACAUCUAGCUGAUAGUAGGUUUACCGCUUUAGGUGUCAACACUACAACUUUCAGUCUAAGUAGUUUCAGUUACAACCAAUCUAUAGUUGAUAUUCAAAGAUCGAGUAAUUAAUACAUGAACUUCCCCUUCUUUCUUAAAGUAUGCACCAAGUCAAACUAUGUUACAUACAUUGUGACGAGAGUACUACUAGAGGAGAAAAACAUUCAGAAGAUCUAAAGUCUGAACUUUUACGUACCCAACAGUGUCUUGCAAUUGUGAAAUUGGGAUAACACCUGCCCUGUUAGUGAGGUCAACAGUUGGUUUGACUCCAACAACUGAAUUAGCAUUGGCUGGAUAUAGAAUGGAUCCUGCUGUUUCUGUCCCCAAUGCUAGUGCUGCAAGGUUUGCUGCUACUGAUGUUGCAGAACCAGUGCUUGAACCUGAUGGAUCAGCACUUGCUACAUAAGGAUUCUGUAACAACAUGAUGAGUAAAAAACACCAGGUUAUUAAACUCUUUUUAGUCAAAUUAUCAAAAAAGGCAGCCACGAGGGGGUGUGCAUAGACAGUCUGCCCUGACGUAAGCCUAGUGGUUGAUUCCCCAGCUCAAACAUGUGACCUAUAAGUCACACAGAAACAACUUUACCAUUGCUCAAACUUAAAGUAGUAUAUAGUGUUUAAUACUAUUAUAGGCUUCUUCAAAUCUUUGUUUGUCUUUCAUUUUUAUAUUUUGCAUCUUAACUAAUAUCAUAGAGGCGGUAUCAUCAUUUUUUUUCACUAAUUUUCUCAAUCUAUAAGUUUAACGACUUGAGUUAUGACCUGUUUUGGGACUUGAAUUACUUCUUCAUUACUCUUACAUGCUUGACUUAGUUAAGCUGUAUUUAGGGGAAUCAUUUUUUCUCAAUCAAUAAAGAACGAGACUUUACCAAACAAGCACCGAUAUUGAUGAUAGUGACCUUGAUACGGAGCUGGAACUGCAGAGAGACUCUUCCUAUCUUAUUAGUCAAGCGCUAAUUUACUGACAAUCACAUGUUAUAAUUCACUAGUGGUAUAAAAUUCCUUAUACCGUCCGUCAGCAUAUAUAACUUAAAAUUUUUUUACCAAUGACUCACCAGAGCUUGACCAAGUCUGCCAUUCCAACCACUAGGGAUAUUCUCAGUUCUAAAAGCAGCCCAUUCAGUCAUAGUUGCCUUGCCAAGUAUGAUAGCACUAGCAUUCCUCAACUUCUUGAUCACACCAGCAUCUUGUGGCACAAUGGACCCAACAAGUGCUAGUGAUCCUGCUGUUGUGUUAAGUUUAUCUUUUGUUGCAAUGUUGUCCUUGACAAGAACUGGUAUACCAUGUAGCCUGCUGGACAGUGGUACCCCCG